GACGAACGCUGGCGGCGUGCUUAACACAUGCAAGUCGAACGGAAAGGCCCCUUUGGGGGUACUCGAGUGGCGAACGGGUGCGUAACACGUGAGUAACCUGCCCUUGACUUCGGGAUAACUUCAGGAAACUGGGGCUAAUACCGGAUAGGAAUCCUUGCUGCAUGGUGGGGGUUGGAAAGCUUCGGCGGUUUUGGAUGGACUCGCGGCUUAUCAGCUUGUUGGUGGGGUAGUGGCUUACCAAGGCUUUGACGGGUAGCCGGCCUGAGAGGGCGACCGGCCACAUUGGGACUGAGAUACGGCCCAGACUCCUACGGGAGGCAGCAGUGGGGAAUAUUGCACAAUGUGCGGAAGCCUGAUGCAGCAACGCCGCGUGCGGGAUGACGGCCUUCGGGUUGUAAACCGCUUUCAGCAGGGGCGAAGCUUGUGGUGACGGUACCUGCAGAAGAAGCACCGGCUAACUACGUG
rnacentral:rRNA from 1 species